GACGAACGCUGGCGGCGCGCCUAACACAUGCAAGUCGAACGGAGCUUUGAGAGCUUGCUUUUAAAGCUUAGUGGCGAACGGGUGAGUAACGCGUGAGUAACCUGCCCUGGAGUGGGGGACAACAGUUGGAAACGACUGCUAAUACUGGAUAUUCACACAUUGUCGCAUGGUGGUGUGUGGAAAGGGUUUUCUGGUGGGGGAUGGGCUCGCGGCCUAUCAGCUUGUUGGUGGGGUGAUGGCUUACCAAGGCUUUGACGGGUAACCGGCCUGAGAGGGUGACCGGUCACAUUGGGACUGAGAUACGGCCCAG
rnacentral:rRNA from 1 species